ensembl:lncRNA
GUGCAACUUGCUUUGCAGCUGCAGGAAAUGGACAAGGUAUUCACAGAUAAACAUCAGAAAUACAUCCUGUUAUCUUUUCUGAUUGCAAAAAAUGUAAUCAGGCUUUAAGUAUAAAAGCGAACACACCAUGAAACGGAUAACUGAAAGGGUUUUACUUCUUCAAAGUGGUCUCAAGAAGAGCACAUUUCUCAAGAUUAUCAGUGUCAAUCUUAAGAAUUGAAAAUGGCAACAAGACAAUCAUGGUUCACCAUGGGGAAGGAAAUGCUGAAGAGUUCUUUUGUGCCAAAUGUGAUUUUUGGCUCCUUACUUGCAUGCAUGGAGAAGUUGAUGGAAGUGGAGUUUGAAUGUCCUUGCGAUCCUGAAGUGAACCUCUUGCUUGUAACUGCAUACUUUGCUGCUCCUGCUGUUUUUAUCUUUGUGGUGACAAGUGCUCGAGGAUGUAGGAACAAGAAGUGUUCAAAUGGUUGGACAAAUAAUGUGUUCAUGGGCUUUGCCCAGGCAAUACUGUGGCUCAUCCUGUUGUUCAUAGAUGGCAACUACUUAGCUUGUGCCAAGGCAGACUGGUCGGGAGUGUAUGAAGAGGCCCCUGGAGCUGCUCAUUGGAAAUGGUGCAAACCUAAUAACUCAACAAUCGAACUGGUCAAGACUGAGAAAUGGUUUUUUCUGUCUAAGCUCAUUGGAUUGGGGCUCAUCGUGGUUCUCAGUAUGAUCAUUGCUCCAUGGAUGUGCUGCUGGAUGACAGACAAAAGAGAGGGAAACGAAGACGAAGAAACAGUGCAGAUGAAUCAGGUCAACCAGUAAAGUCAGGGAACAGCAGAAACUGGAUCAAGAUCUGGGACACAGAGGGUGUAAACUAUGCCUGUCAUGCAGUCGCAGCUGGUGAAAAGGAUGAGGCUUUGAAAAGAUCCUAGAAUUCUUACCAUAUAAAUAUUAUACAUUUACAAUGAAGUAAAAAAUUAUUGGCUAAAGCUUAGAAAAAGCUUUGAUUGGUAUUAUCACAUUGCUGUAUUGGUAGAAUUAUCUAGUCUGUCAUUUUGGCAAAAUUAAGUAUAAUUGAACAUUAUGUAAAAAUCUUUAAAGUGAUGAUGGGUUUGUUGCAUCAUGUCAAAUAUCUUGUAAACAAAUAAGUCACUUAGAAACAGAACUACAUGAGACAUGAUGCAAUCAAAACUCCAAAGGGUAAAUUUGACUUUUUUAACAUAAGAUUUCGGACCAAAACUUUCCCAUUUACAAUUGUAUAAAAUUAAUAUAACUAGAAUAUAUUUUGAUAAUCCUCCUGAACCAUUCAUUAUGAUUUAAAUAAGUAUAUAAGGAAUUAAUUUUUAUUUAGCCUUUUUAUUUUUGUUAUGUCAGGAUUUUAACACAUACUUGCAAUUAGGUCCUAAAUAAAGCUGUAGAUAUAAGAGUUUGCUGAGUAUAAGAGUUUUGCUAAUGCUUAUUGUCUGUUAAUGAAGAGUUUAUGGACAUCACAAGUUUAAUAAAGACGUGUUGAUCCUAUUUGGAUCUUCAUCAGUCCAGACUAUCUGAAAAAUUGUAACCACUCAUAUUUAUACAUCAGUGACAGCAAUAGGUUGACAAGCUCCAUGAUCUGAGGUGUGGUGAACCAUCCAAACAUACAAAAACAAUUACAUAAUAAUCAGCAUAUAGAAAAAACGAACAAUGAUAUAUACUGACGAAACAUUAAAUAUACAUUUUCUAUGUGAUGUUAAAUCAAAUUCAUCAUCUCAAAAAUCAAGAACCAAAUUAUCUACAUUCACAAAUAUAUUAUUAUAUAUAAGUUCCAUAAGAGAGAAAAAGAGGUGAUGAAUUUGAUAAAACAUGUAUUGAUCUAUAUAAGAUAAACAAACAUCCUGAUUAAACUUCUGUGGCAAAUGCUUUUUGUAUUUCUCAUUUUGUGCAUCACAUUAUUACAAAUUUUCUGUAACUAGUCUCAGUGCUUCUUUUGUGUGAUCGAAACAAAGAGAGUGAAAUGAUAUGUAAUAUGUAAUAUUUACUUCCUUUCUAUAUACAUUGAUUGUAUCAUGAUUGAAUAAACAAUUUUAAAUGACAGUUACUUUGCUUUUUGUCUUUAAUGACUGGAGGAAUUGUUUCUAAUG